rnacentral:lncRNA from 1 species
GCGGAAACACUAGACAAUCUUCGGGUAGUCGUGUGGAAGGGUGUGACAAUUUUUUUAAAGAGGAGAUUUUUAGGGUGUAGAGGAGGUGACGUUAAUGGUGGGAAGGUGGGGGUUUGGUGUUAUGAAAGGUUGGUGGUUCUUGGGUAAGAGGAAGGGCUUUCGAAUGGUGGUUUAUGGUGGAGAAAAUGAUAGGUGAACAACAAUGAGAAGGGAAGAAAGGGAGUCGGUUGAUGAGGAAAAACACGACGAGACCAUGGUGAUGCUGUGGGUUCCAAGAUCAACGGCGAUAAUGGAGGAAAGAAAUGAGUGACGGUGCUUGCGAAGCGACGUUCUUUGGUGUCGACUCGGUGUAGUGUUGCGAGGGUAUGAAGAGGAACCGUCGACCAAAAGACGUGGUGGCGAUAUGUAGCGAUGGCGGCGACGUUAUGGUGUGAAAGAGGUUGGGGUUUUUUGUGUAGAAUAUGGAAAAGAAAUGGAAGUAGAGAGGAAGGUUGGGGUUUGGGGGUUUACUUUUUCUUUUUGGCUGGUUUGGGCCUUUUUUCCCAUUUUUUUCUUUGUUUCUUUGGGCCAAUUUGGCUGUUCAGCCCUCUUUGUUUUCUCUCAUUUUUUUUGGGUUUCGUUAGGCCUGUUUGGGUUUUAGGGAAUUAGGUUUGUUUUGGUUUUUGUGUAAUUGGUGUUUGUUUGGGUGUUGGGUUAGUAUUGGGUUUGGGGUAGGUAGAUUAAGUGGACUUAGGUUUUGGGGUUUUUAUUUGGGUUAGGGGUUCUGGGUUUUGUUUGUUGGAAAAUAAAUGUUAGCACUUAGCACGAA